CUCUGCCUGGACAGACUGCGCCCCACUGUGGCAUGAUGUGGGAGAUAGCAAGGGAAAUGUCAGAGCCAAAUAGGCUCUCUUCUUUGGUAAAGAUUUCUCAGCUUCAAAUUUGACACUUUGAAGAGCUAAAUGUGUUGGAUGCUGGUGGUGGUGAGUUUGGUUUGACACAAAAAAAUAAAAAUGCUCUUCCAGUUUUCAAGGAGCUUAUGGCCUAGAAGGGGAAUGCAUCUCAAGAUCUGAGCUAUGAUAACAGUUUCCAACUCUCGGUCUCCAGGAAGAGAGUAGGGCAGAUAAUUAGGCUUAAGGCUUCAAGUGGAGGCACUUCAAGGAGGCAAGACAGACCAGAGAUUGAAAAGGAAAGCAGUCAGACUUCUGAGGUGAUCUUUGGGAUUGGAAAGAACAAUGUGGUUGUGGGCCCUGGAAGGGCUGGACAUCUGCACCAGUCUGGGCAUGGAGCCUGCGGGGCACUAAGGAUUGGAAGGGACUUCCUGAGAAUGUGCCUGGCAGGUUUGGGCAGUCUGGGUGGAGUGGAGUGGUCAGGGAACAGUGCUGCUGGCAGUAGUCCCCACUUUCCAGGGGCCAAGCCACAUGGCACCUUUUGCAUACUUUGGAUUCAAGUUAGGUGAACUUCAUCUUUGGUUUGCUUAAGCCUCUUGGGUCUUCUGAGAUGGCACUGGAGAAGAGAAGUAGAAGACCAAGCCAGUAUAAGAUUCUUGAGUUAGUUUUAUUUAAUAUUUGGUGAAAUAAGAGACAGGAUCAUAUUUGUACCUUAUGUGUUAUAAACAUUUCAAACCAAUUCCAUUUUAUGGAUUAGGGGUAAGAAUGUGAUUUGCUCCAUGUCACAUGACUAGGAAGUCACAAUGCUGAGAUUUCCAUAGCUGUAACUGGAUCUCUUAGGCAGUCUCAUUUCUUCUUAUCUGUUACUUUUCUUUCUUUGUGAUAUUAUUUUCUGCAUGUCUUUGUACCCUAAGUCAUUACUGCCUCCCUUUUGAUUUUGGAAAGCUUUCUUCUGGCAGGUGACAGAAACCCAAUUUGAACAAGCUUGAGGGGGAAAAUAAUUAAAAAAUAUGUAUAUAAAUACAUACAUAUAUUUAAAAAUAUGUAUGGAAUUUGCUAUAUACGGGUGGAGCCAUAUGUGGGGUACUUCACAUUUUAUGAGGGCAGGAAGGUGGCUAAACCUCAGGAACAUUGUCCCAGUUGUCCCAAUCAUCUGUUGACCAGGCUGGACUAAUACUGUCUAACAUGGUGGCUCCCAUAAUACCAGUGAAGUCUGGGCUGGGGGAGUGGGAGAGGGAAAGUGAGGUGAUAGUUCCCAGAAGGUGUACUCUUUGGUAGACCAAAAAAAAAAAAAAAAGUUACUACCGUUAAUAAUAAUUUUGAAAUUAAUUAUAAUGUAUGCUCAACUUAUUCACAAAAUGGUUCAAUGAAGCUAAUAAUAAAAAUAUUUUC
rnacentral:lncRNA from 1 species